rnacentral:lncRNA from 1 species
CUUUUACAUGGGACUCAGAAAUACUCACUAGUCUCAGAUCUUUUUAUAGGCCCUUGGAAAGUUCCCAGCCCAGUACCUGGCCAUUGUCCUAAGGAUAAAAUAGAACCACCUGUGUUUGGUGGGAGAAGGGCUGAGGGGGACCUCUCUGGACACUGCCCUCCCCAACCAGCAGCCAUGUAGAAAGAUGGCAAGACGAAGUCACUCAGUGGCCUUGAGGGACCAAAAGGAUCACGAUAACAUUGGUGACUUCUCUGGACCAGCCAUAGCCCUCUCCGCUGGUUUUUCCUGCAUGCUGGGGGCCUCAAAAUGACUGAAAUUGAAAAUAUUAUUCAUUCAUUUAUUCAGUAUUUACUGAGCCAUAAAUCAAUACAACGCUUAACGAAAGCAAUUUGGCAUCAUCUGCUAAAAUGACAACUGCAAAUACCCUUUGAUUCAGCGAUUCCACUUUCGAGAAUGUGUUUCAUGGAUGUAUUUAUUCUUACACUUAAUCAAAUCCAUAUAAGGUUAUCCAUUGCUGCAUUUUCAGGAAUUAAAAAAAAUUGGAAACAACUCAAAUGACCAUCAAUAGAGGACUGGUUACAAAAAUUAUUAUGUAUUCAUACAAUGGAAUAAUAUGCAGCUGUGAAAAUAAGAAUGGCACCCCUCUCUUUAGUCUUGUGGAAGGAGUGCCAAGAUACACUGUUGAAUUUUUUUUACAAGGCAAGGUGCAGAAUGCUGUAUAGUACUCUAUCUUUUAUGUAAGAAGGUGAGGAAAAUAAUAUACACACUUGGCUGGGCGCAGUAGCUCAUGCCUAUAAUCCCAACACCUUUAGUCCCAGCUACUCAAGAGGCUGAGGUGUGGGAGGAUUGCUUGAGCCCAGGAGGUUGAGGGUGCAGUGAGCUGUGGUUGCACCACUGCACUCCAGCCUGGCCAACAGAGCAAGGCUUUGUCUCAAAAAAAGAAAAGAAGAGAAGAGAAGAGAAGGGAAAAAGAAAAGAAAAGAAAAAAUAUACAUACUUAUUUGGAUGUACAUAAACCCAGGAAGGACAUUCAAGGAACAACUAACAGUGGUUAUCUAUGGGAAUGAAAUGUGGUUAGUAACUGGGUGGAUGGGGUUAAAUGCCUGGAGGAAAAAUAUUUUUACUGGUAUCUUUUUAUAUUUGUCUUUUUAAAUAUUAUGUUGAUUUAUCGUCUACUUGAAUAAUGAAUUAAAAUAUAUUUACUGAAGGCCAGGUACGGUGGUUCACGCCUGUAAUCCCAGCACUUUGGGAGGCCAAAGCAGGUGGAUCACCUGGGGUCAGGAGUUUGAGACCAGCUUGGCCAAUGUGACAAAACCCCAUCUCUAUUAAAAAUACAAAAAUUAGCCAGGUGUGGUGGUGCAUGCCUGUAGUCCCACCUACUUGGGUGGCUGAGGCAGGAAAAUCGCUUUCACCUGGGAGUUGGAGGUUGCAAUGAGUCAAGAUCAUGUCCACUAUACUCCAUCCUGGGCAACAGAGUGAUACUCUCUCUCAAAAAUAACAUAAAAUAACAGCAUAAAACAAACCUACUGAGCAUCUACCUGUGCCAAGCACUAUUCUAGGUAAGGAAUACAGUGGAAAAUGAGAUAGACAAAUUGAGAAAAAAGAA